AGCUCCAAUAGCGUAUAUUAAAGUUGUUGUGGUUGAAAAGCUCGUAGUUGGAUCCCAACAGACCCGGGUCGGUUUACUUUGUGUAAUACUGAUCCGGUACUGUGCUUUUGCUGGAGGUUCAGGGGUGCUCUUAACCGAGUGUCUCUGAGUGCCAGCAGGUUUACUUUGAAAAAAUUAGAGUGCUCAAAGCAGGCUUUAAAGCUUGAAUAUUCGUGCAUGGAAUAAUAGAAUAGGAAGUCGUUUCUAUUUUGUUGGUUUUCGGAAAAUGACUUAAUGAUUAAUAGGGACAAUCGGGGGCAUUAGUAUUCAAACGACAGAGGUGAAAUUCUUGGACCGUUUGAAGACUAACUACUGCGAAAGCAUUUGCCAAGAGUGUUU
rnacentral:rRNA from 1 species